CAUAUAAUUAUACAUUUUGUAUAAUUUCAGUUUUAUUUAGUCUUUUAUUUAAGUCAAUUAUUAUGUUGAUUCAGUUGUAAUGAAGUUUAUUUAUAAUAUGAAAUUCACUACAUUUUUUUCAUAAAUUAGUAACAUAUUUCUCUCAAUAGAAUUUAAACUUCAUUAUAUUGGGUCAUUCGAAAGUUUCUGCACUUUUUUAUGAAAGAUACAAAUAAAGCAAUCUAAAAAAAAAGUUAUCGACAUGCAGUUUGAAUCUCCAAAGAAGUGAAUUCCAGGCUACUCAGAGAAUUUCAAGUGACCUGAAGAGAUGAAAUCUGAGAGGGCAAGGUCUAAUGAAUAUGGAAAAGACACAAAACAUCUCAGCCUUACUCAGUGUAACAGAGAAGAAGGGGCAAAGAUUUGAUUUACUCAAGUUCAACCAGCAAUGCAAGUAAUGCUCUUCCUUAACUUUCUGAUUUAAUUAGCUUAAUCAAGCAAUAGCUAUAAUAAUUUUGUAUGCCUCAAAAUGCAGAUCUAAAGUAGCCUUUUUAAAAUUGAUGCAAUUGCAAGACCAUCCGAGAAUUCUUGAAAUAUUAUAAUAAUAAAUUUUGCUAUUGGAAGCAUUGUAGAGUCACAAGUACACAGGUUUGCAGAUUUUUUUAAAAAUACUUGGAAUAAUUUAUAGCCAGCCACCAUAUUUCAUGAUGAUGAUUGCCACAAAUUUGAAGGUUUUUGGAUAGUACACUGGGGUGCAAAACUUAAGCAACAAUGUAAAUUUUAAUGAGAUAGCCAUUAAAUUGUAGAAAAAGGGUUCUUGCAUUCAGUAGAAAGGUCAUGCGUAUGCAAAUGUCAAGAAAAAAUGUCACAGGCUACGUGAACGUAGCAAAACGUAUAUGGCUGGCACACUCAACUCGAGACUAUCAUAAAAGGAAGGAUGGAGACACAAUUAAAGACAUUCGCUGCAAGUACAAGGAGUUCUUUCAUGAAAUAUGGCUAGAAGAAAUGAUCUGGAUGACUUCACACGUGGAAGAAUGAUCGAAAAUCUGGAGUAGGGGCGAAGUGUGAUUAGUAUAGCUGAAGAGUUCAGAAUCAACAAAAGUGCUUUUCGUGCACUUGGAAAGCCUUACAAACCAUAGGUACGGCUGUUAGAAAGGUUGGUGGUGGCCGCCCAAGGAAAACAACUGCAGUGGAUGACCGAUAUAUUGUCCUGCAGGCGAAAAAGAGCCCGAAACAAGUCACCAAACUCCAUAAUUCAACAACUGUGUACAGCAACGGGGCGACAUGUGCCGCAGUUUACUGUGUGCAGACACCUUCAAAAAGUUGGCUUAUUCGCCUGCCGUCCUGAACGCUGCAUCCCUUUGAAAGCUGGCCAUCAGCAUCAGUGUUUACAGUGGUGCAAGAAGCGCAAAACCUGGGCAUCUCAUCAAUGGAGUCGUAUCCUCCUUACGGAUGAGAGUCAUUUUAGUGCCCAAGCAGUUCUCAACACAAAUUGAUUUGGAGAGAGAUCGGAAUACGGUUUAAUCUCAGUAACAUCACGGAAAGAGACCAUUAUGGUGUCCUGAAGAUCUCGUCUGGAGAGGCAUUAUGCUGAACGGGCGGAUAGAGCGCCACAUUUUCGACAGAAAUUCUGUAACCGGAGAUUGCUAUUGUCAGGAGGUGAUCCUUCCCCAUGUGCGUCAUUGUCAGGAGGUGAUCCUUCCCCAUGUGCAUCUGUUCCGAGAAGUCAUUGAAGCAGACUUCGUUUUUAUGGAUAACAAUGCACGGCCAUACCAGACUCCUUCUGUUCAGAAGCUACUGAAAAGUGAAUAUAUCACUUAAAUGGAUUGGCCAGCGUGCUCCCCUGAUUUAAAUCCCUUAGAACAUGUGUUGGAUGCUUUGGGGAGAUGCCUUGUGGCACGAUUACAUCCUCUGGGGAACACCCAGCAACUGAAACAGAUGCUGAUUGAGAAAUAGGCCAUCUUUCCUCAAGAUUUGUUGGACAAUUUGGUGCUGAGUAUGAGGAGACCAUUUGAAGCAACCAUUGCAGUAAGGGGAGGGCAUAUCUCACAGUAAGGAACAUCUGCUUGUUGUUCUUCCUCUUGUACAGAAAAUCAUGUAUAAUGAUACUAUGAGUUCAAUAAAGCCUAUUUUUGUUUGA
rnacentral:lncRNA from 1 species